ensembl:lncRNA
GAAGACUUGUCAUGGAGGAGUUGUCAUGGAGGAGUUGUCAUGGGAGAGUUGUCAUGAAGGAGUUGUCAUGGAGGAGUUGUCAUGGGGAGUUGUCAUGGAAGAGUUGUCAUGGAAGAGUUGUAAUGGUGGAGUUGUCAUGAAGGAGUUGUCAUGGGAGAGUUGUCAUGAAGGAGUUGUCAUGGUGGAGUUGUCAUGGAGGAGUUGUCAUGGGGAGUUGUCCUGGAAGAGUUGUCAUGGUGGAGUUGUCAUGAAGACUUGUCAUGGAGGAGUUGUCAUGGAGGAGUUGUCAUGGGGAAGUUGUCAUGAAGAGUUGCAUGGGAGAGUUGUAAUAGAGGAGUUCUCAUGAAGACUUGUUAUGAAGACUUGUCAUGGAGGAGUUGUCAUGGAGGAGUUGUCAUGAAGAGUUGCAUGGGAGAGUUGUAAUAGAGGAGUUGUUAUGAAGGAGUUGUCAUGGUGGAGUUGUCAUGGAAGAGUUGUCAUGAAGGAGUUGUCAUGGGGGAGUUUUCAUGGGGAGUUGUCAUGGAAGAGUUGUCAUGGAGGAGUUGUCAUGGAGGAGUUGUCAUGGAGGAUUUGUCAUGAAGAGUUGCAUGGGAGAGUUGUAAUAGAGGAGUUGACAUGGAGGAGUUGUCAUGAAGACUUGUCAUGAAGAGUUGUCAUGGAGGAGUUGUUAUGAAGGAGUUGUCAUGAAGGAGUUGUCAUGGGGGAGUUUUCAUGGGGAGUUGUCAUGGAUGAGUUGUCAUGGAGGAGUUGUCAUGGGAGAGUUGUCAUGAAGAGUUG